rnacentral:misc_RNA from 1 species
UUCAACUCUAGUACAGCUAUUGGCUAAUAGAACAACUAUCCAACAUUCUCUGAAUCCCUAAAACUGUGAUUGCAGAGAAUCUAUCUGCUGAGACCUUAUAACCAUUUACAUUUAGGCACUGAGCCAGGUCAAAAGAGGAAGAAAAAAUUAUAACAAUAUGUAAUGUACAACUGCAAAAGAAUCAAUUAUCGGAAUCAUCACAAUAUGGUGCCUAAUAACCAAAUAUGAAGGAACAAACAAUAAGCAAUAAGACUUAGCCUGCCCCUUGGAUGACUCAUCAAAGCUCGACUUGAAGAUACCCAAAUUCCAUCAAUUCUAUCCGCAAUCAUCUUCCCUUGCCCUGGAACAAGACCUGAAGUAUUGAGUGACUUGAAUGCAUGACCUUUUUCUUGGUCAGCUUCCUCGUCAUUUAUCAACCGUUCAGAUUCAGAAUCUAUAUUUAUUGCAAGUUGAUCUGCAGAUCCCUUCCGCAAAGUUCGAACAUGAGCCGCUGAUGCAACUGAAGAAGAGGCUAAAUUCUUACUAACUGGUACCACAUCUUGAACUUCGGAUAUCUCUGACUGAGUAGGCAAGGAAGCAGCUUCGAAGAUGCCUCUUUCCUGGUUGAUCUCUAGUGGUGCAACCUUAAGUUGAUUAGAAUUUUCCAGUGACUUAACCUUACUUGACAAGUCCUCAACAACCUUCUGGGUACCAUGUAAGUCAGCAAGCAGUUCCUCUGUUUUGGCUUUCAAAUUUUCAGAUUCCAAGACUUUGGCAACAAUCAGCUUAUCAAGCACUGGUAAAAACCCUGUCACCGGAGUCUCUUUAUGGUAGUCAACCAAAUUGUUGCUUCCCAGCUUAUGUAUAAUAUUUUCUAAACCAAUUGUGAAUUCUAACAACUCAUUCUUCAUCUUUG